UUGUGGUACCCAAAGCUCCAGUCCUGGUCACCGGACACUAAGACCUAAAGGACUUGGAUCCUGAGGCUAGAGAGUGUGAGUCUAGAACUGAAUGCAUCCCCAGGACUUCAGAGUGUGACAUCACUGACAGCAGAACUGACUUUGGAGGCUCUGCUGUGUGAUUUCUCCACUGACCCUGAACCACAUUUUGCUGGAAGCACCAUCCCUCAUGCUGAAAUCUCCAAAACAGAGAACAUAAGUGUGAGUACAUGAAAAUUCUCAAAUGGAGGACUUCAAAGUAGAAGGUCCCUUGCAGGAAGAUCAACGCAAGCAUCCAGACACCCAGGCCCCUUCAGCUCACUGCAGGUCAGUCUAGAGUCAAGUCUGAGCA